rnacentral:rRNA from 1 species
AUGGCGCCACAUCAGCAUACAAUACAUGUGUGGGGCCCGCAUGUCAGUACAUCAAAGAGGGAGGAACGUGCAGAAAUUUUGAGGAGGAAUUCAAACCCGGCACCAAAGGCAUACCUGACAGCCAAGCUAACCUUCACACUAGACCACGCAUCAUGUCUAGCUAAUAAACAAGUUCCUGGCAUCACAUAUAUGGGAGUAGCAGGAGACAUAGUCAGGACCGUAUUGGAGCGUAUUCUCAUGCUUGAGGACCGUAGUGGAGCACUCCGCGAGUUCGAGGACCAUGGUGUUACAUGCCGGAGAGUACAUGGACUAUAG